GGUAAUAAAUAUAUGCAUAAUUACACUUUUAAGAAAUAUGCUAAACACAAAUGUACUUCUAGUGAAGUUUUAGUAUAUUUGGAUAAAACAUACUUUUUUCAAAACAUGAUUCAUUAAUUGUAAUAAGCUAACAUUGAACUUUCCUCAAGCAUUUCAACAUUAUAUCAUUCCGAUUGCAUAAUAAACUAUUUUUUCAAAGAUUUGCUUAAAAUCUUACGUUUGCUAGUGUUUAUUUUUAAACAACACACACGUGACACACGUGACUAAACCUGAUUGGUUGUUGUCAUAGUAACAUGUCACGGUGCUAUUUGAAACUUGUUCAGUUCUGUUCAGUUGUUCACGAGGUGCAUGCGGUUGCUUGCAUUAAACGUAUAAACUGUUAAAUUAGAUGGCGACUCUGCAUUAAACGUAUUUAUUUAAUUAAUCGGCGAUCAUAUUUCACCAGAGGACUAAGAUAAAACAACUCGAUUUAAAAUGUGAGCAGUUUUAGUGGAUCUGACGUCGAGGGAAAAAGUAUUUCGCUUUUUGUUUGGAGAUGAACGAGACAACACGAGGCACAGCGACAUAAAUAUGACCAACCAGAUCCCAAGUUGACAGGAACAAAUGAAGAUACAGCGCAUAGAAAGACUUAUUCUUGGUGAUCAACUGCUAUUGACAUUUUUGAACCGGGGCAAAUGUGGAGUGAAGAAAAAACGUUUGCAACACAUCCAAUCCAGAGUGCUCUGACAGAUAAAACUGACACGCUUGAUGAGGACACAGUCAAAGCUUUAAAAG